rnacentral:rRNA from 1 species
AUUGAACGCUGGCGGCAUGCUUUACACAUGCAAGUCGAGCGGCAGCGCGGCCUUCGGGCUGGCGGCGAGCGGCGAACGGGUGAGUAAUGCAUCGGAACAUGCCCAGUCGUGGGGGAUAACACUUCGAAAGAAGUGCUAAUACCGCAUACGUCCUGAGGGGGAAAGCGGGGGAUCGCAAGACCUCGCGCGAUUGGAGUGGCCGAUGUCAGAUUAGCUAGUUGGUGGGGUAAAGGCCUACCAAGGCGACGAUCUGUAGCUGGUCUGAGAGGAUGAUCAGCCACACUGGGACUGAGACACGGCCCAGACUCCUACGGGAGGCAGCAGUGGGGAAUUUUGGACAAUGGGGGCAACCCUGAUCCAGCCAUUCCGCGUGAGUGAAGAAGGCCUUCGGGUUGUAAAGCUCUUUCGGCAGGAACGAAACGGUGGGCUCUAACAUAGUCCGCUAAUGACGGUACCUGAAGAAGAAGCACCGGCUAACUACGUG